rnacentral:lncRNA from 1 species
UUUUUUUUUAGCCUCUCAUUUUAUUUCAGUCUCACAACAAAUUUGCAAAAUUACAAAGCAAUUAUAAGUCAACAUAAUGUGUUACUAGAUGGAAAGUAGAAAAUGAUAAGAAAUUGUGAAGCAAGGCAGUCCACAAAAAUCGUAUGAAUUCAAAAUCUUAAGAGAAAGAAACAUCUUCAAAGUAUCAGAUCUUCCUGGGCUUAUUUAUUCUCAUGUUAACUGAUUUCUCCAGGAGUUCCAUGUUUGCCCGAAAUCAUGCAGUCUCUUCUGAGCCAAAGUUAGACCUCAGGACACAUAAUUCCUCGCCAAAGUCGCUUUCCAUCUUGUUACUUGACCUUCCUCAGGGCCAAUAAAUGACCAAAUGUAAUAUAACUUCUCUAGAAUUUUGAAAGAAGGCAAGGUUAUUCUGGCUGGUGAUGAUUUAAGAGUCAGAAUCCCACCAUAAGGUACAUUGUGUUUGAACAAUCUUUUUUUUUUUUUUUUUCGUCUUUUGUCUUUUUUUUUAGGGCCACACCCACAGCAUAUGGAGGUUCCCAGCGCUAGGGGUCGAAUCACAGCUGUAGCCAUCAGCCUGUACCACAGCCACAGCAACUUGGGAUCUGAGCCACAGCUGCAACCUACACCACAGCUCACGGUAACGCCAGAUCCCUAACCCACUGAGUGAGACCAGGGAUCGAAGGAAAGGUUAGGAAAGGAAAAAGUGCAUCAGUGAAUUGUGCCCUCUAUGUGCACGUGAUCAGAGGGUCAGGCUCCCAUCGGGCUGCCUGCCCACACCCGGUACCACCUUCUGUCCCACCCUGCUCACAGAGGGAAAAGGAGUAAGGAGGGCAUCAGGCUAUGUAAAAGGAUGCCUGUCUGCAUGGGAUCCAGUACUUAGCAGCCAACACACCCACAGGAGCCAGCUGGCAGGAGAGAAGGGUCAUCUGGAACUACAGGCUUUCCCAGGGUGGUGCUUGAACUCAACUGUGGAGUGAGACCAACAGUCGUGCUGCAGUUUAGCACUGGCUGGGUCCACUGCAAAUACAGGCCAAACCUCCUCCCCCUGUUCUUUCCCCUAAUAGGUCUGCUGCUCACAACCACCCUUCCCUGUUGUUUGAAAAAUCAGAGUCCAAAUGGCCAUUUAGGGAUGUCUGUGUACAACGUGUGAACAAGUCAAUAGUAGUCAAGUCAAGAACCAAUUAAAAACUAGCUGACCUCAUUUCAUGCUUUAAGGGCAGCAUUACUUUAAGAAGUCCAAAUGUUUACUUUGCCAGGGAAUUUUUGAAACUAUUUCCUUUGGAAGUAUUUCUCUAAGAAAUGUGUACACAGAACUUGAGACAGGUUGAACACCAAGGAAUUGAGACAUCAUGCAAAGCUACAUUAUUUGGGGAUUAUUGGGGGAACAUCAGUAUGAGUCAUAUCAAGAUGAAUUUUUUAAAAAAUGCAAUUUGUACUUUCUAAAAAGUUAACACUAAGUCCAGCUGCUAACUAGCUCUUACUGCUAGAGGUCCUACCUGCCAGACUUCAAUGAAGAGAUAAGACUUUUGUAAGUACAGUCAACCCUCUCUACUACCUGCAGGUUCUGUAGCUGCCCAUUUAACCAACUGGGAUGAAUUCAAAAUUGUGGAACCCAUGGAUACUGAGAAUGACUGUACUUCACCAUUUUAUAUGAGAAAUUUGAGCAUCUGAGGAUUUGGUAUCCCCUGGGGGUCCUGGAACCAAUUUCCCAUGCAUCCUGAGAGAUGACCAUGGUCCCUGAGUGGUAUGAUUUGUAACAGAUACCACCUCAGUGCUUGGAAAGACUUAUUCUCUUAAAAAGAUUAAUCAAUGAUCUUUAGCACACCAUGAAUCUGCUUAGAAAAUUCUUUCAUAACACAAAAGAAGCUUCAGCCUGUUAUAGGCUAAAUUGUUAUCAAUUCCAAAGCAGCAAAGCCCAAAUUAGUAUGCAACGCUAAAAUUUAAUUUCUAUCCAGAAGGCUUUGAUGUCCAGGAUGCAAAUUAAUAAUGGCUUAUUUACCAGCUAAUACACUGUGAGUCUCUAAAAAACACAAUGUUGAUGACAUAUGCAGUAAUCCUAAUAAGGUUUCUCAAAAAACAUCCUUAUUGGAACUUCAAAUUCUUCACACUUUAAGCUAGUAGUAGCUGAUGCUUACCUGAAGUUUUUAUCCGAAGAUGCAGUUUGAAGCUAAGUUGGCACCUCACUCAGUUUUCAAACAGUCCUCAGGUGAAAAAACAAAGAAGGAGAAAAAAAAAGGUGUUUGUUGCAAAAUCAGGAUCAGACUUCAUAAACCUUUGCCUUUUUGUUUUCUAAGUAGUCUAAUGAAGAUAUACUCUUUCCCUGAGAGUAUUUUGGAGCACCCACCCCACCCUGACUGUAAUAUGAAUAAAAAUAACACCCCUUAUAGACGGUCAUUCUUUACAGUUCUCAAAAUAUUUUCCUGUAAGUUAUAAAAACUCAGUGCAAUUACCAUUAACUCUACAACCUUCUCACCAAGGCCUUCUCCAUUUCAUUGCAAAUGGCAAGGACAUUUUCACCUUCUCCAACCCUCAACGCUCUAUGAGGAGUUCCAUGUCCAUGAAAUCCCAAAAAGUUUAUCUUCUGCUCUGCCUUUGUCAAUAUCUUCAGCCAUUCCUUCCAGGAAAUUGUUCAGGUUUCUGUGACAUAAUCUAUUCUUAGAUUAUGAAUAAGCUAUUCUCCCAUGCCAGAGAGUCUUACACUCUCUGGCUGAGUAGUUUGUCUCAAGAAGUAACUGCAUUGUGUGUAUGUGUUUUUCCCCAGCAGGGAUAGAUUUUAACCACAGAGACAGAGUACAAAGACUCUUCCACAACUGAAGUUGCGUGUUUAGGAAAAGUACUGUCUCUGUCUCAGAUUUCCCUGAACAUUUUCCUUUUUCUAGACAUGACAGUUGGAGCAGUGGUUCUCAGCCCUAGAUGCACAAGAAAAUCAUCUAGGGAGAUUUUUUAAAGCAUAGAUGCUUGGACUUCAUCCCAUACUAAUUGAAUCAAAAUUCCCAUGAGAAGGGCCAAGACACUGGUAUUUUGGGUAGCUCCCAGGUGAAUUGUGCAGCCAGGGUUGCACCAGGGUCAAUUAGAAUUGCUUUGCUCACAUCACUUGAUCAAGAUUUUUUUAGAAAGAUAUUUCAUAGAAAUCCAUAGGAAUUUAACUUAUGUUAAUAAUAAUGACCUUUUGCAUUUGCCUGGAGAUUUUAAUACUUUAUAAUACUCUCACAACUCACUUGCUAUUUGCAUAAUCAAUCCAUAUUUAUGAAAUACAUAUCAGGAGCCAUACUAGGUGCUCGAACAAAAAGAUCAAGACAUGACCCUUGCCCUUCAAAGACAUACAGACUAGUAAAUGAAGCCAAACAAAUACACUUCUAGACAAGUCACAGAUGCCAUGUAUAGAAUACAGUGCAAGUCAAAGGAGAGUCAUCUGGUAUACCUGGAAGGUUCAGGAAAGAACUUGUCCAGGAGGUAGCUCCUUUGCUGAGACUUGAAAGGUGAGUAAGGGGAUCUCCAAGUAGCUGAGAAAGGUCCUAGAAAUUUCAGGCAGAUGGAGUAGAAUAAGCAAGGACAAUGAAGCUAUGAAACAUACUGGUAUAUUUGCUCAAUUAGGCAAAAGGAGAGGUGGGGCAAGAACUAAGACUGGAGAGUUCACAGGGCAUUUAAAUCCCACACUACAGAAGUUAGACCUUAUCAUGGAGGCCACUGUGAUAAAAAAUCACAUAACUGUAACCAUAAACAAUUUUAGCACAACUUUCCAUACAUUCGUUUGUUGGUUUGUAAUUUACCUUAAUGUAAUGCUAUCUUAAUAUAUGGUAAAACAUAGGACAAAGAUAGAACGAGAUUCAAACAAGAACAAGAUUAAAAGUAAGUAUAAAUGGAAGUUCUGAUACCAUCCUCCUUCAUGCCAGUGCAUCCCCUGUACGUCUCGGGAGUGUGUAUACCCCACUUUGAGGUCCCUGCAACCAGCGUGUGAAGUGAGUGAAACGACUUAAUCUGUACUUCACAGACCCUGUGAGGCAAGUAGGGCAAAGGUAAGCCCCAGAGAUACAGAGUGACUUGAGGUUAUGCACAACCUCCUUAUAGCGUAGGGAGGACCGGGACUCACAGCCAAGCCUAAGCCAAUGUUCCUCCUGCUACCUGACAUCUUUUCCCCUGAGAUGUACUCCUCACCACAAAGUCAAGAGGCUUUGGACAAGAUGCAGCUGUGUGUUCAAUUAAGUGAUCCGUCCUUAUUUUACCAGAAUAUGUGAGAAAUUCUGAAAAAGAGACCAUGAAACAUCAUUGGGAUGAAACUGGACUAGGACCACUGUAUUGAGAUAUAGGAGAUGAGUCAUUUACCUGAAAUGAAUGAGGAAUAGGCUAAUCUUAGUCAGCAGAGAACUACCAUGUACAUGUCAGAAUGAAUAAUUAAUUGUCACAGAAGGCAGUAUUGCAUAGUAGGUAGAGAGAACACUUGCUUUGGAGUCAGGGGACCUGAGUUUGAAUCCUACCUCUCUGCCACUUAAUAUGCUUUGUAUGAACUUGGGCAUCUUGCUUAAGCUGACUCACCAGUGAAGUGGGGCUGGAUAAUUUUUCCCGUAAGACUGAUGUGAAUACUAAAUAAACUCUCAGUAGAUGUUUUUUUCCUCCUAUCCAUCAAUGAAUAAAAUGCCACAAAGUGUGCUAACCACUACAAAUGCACUGAAUAUUGAAUAUAAUUCCAUCCUGCUUGGAUCAUGCAGGAUGAUGGACUUCUAUUAAAUUAUUACUGUCGAUUAAAGAAAGACCUGCUUCUUGUUGGAAAAAAGUGACUACUUUUUUUCUAUGUAUAAUAAUAGCUAACAUUUACUGAAGGUUUACUAAGUGCCUAGGAUUUUAUCAACUAGUAUACAUAUACUAUUCCAUUUAAUUUUUACAAUGUUAUUUGUAGCAAGUAUUAUCGUCCUUACUUUAUGAAUGAAGUGGAGCGCCUACAACUAGAAUCUACUCUUAUUUGUCCAAACUCUUCCCCCUUCACUAUUACAUUAGAUUAAAGGGUAUGAGUCUAAGCCCUUAUUACAACAGAGUUUACAAACUCUUUCACAGAACACGAGCUUCUUGUGAUGUAAGUAUUCAUUCCAGAGUGAAGACCUCCAGCACUCCUGCAUCUGAGAAGUUAAAAAAGAACACAUUAGCCUUAUUAAAAAUUCUUCACAGCGCUAGCAGGAAGGAAGUCAAUUUAUUUUUAUUUGACUCAAAUUUUAAAAAUGUGUUUGACCAUGGAAACCUUUCUAGUCUUCAGGAAAACAUAUUAACAUCACACAGGAAAAAAUAUUCAGUAACCACUAAUUUGGAAAAUGCUUCUCUAAAGAAACUGUAAGAUUAGUUCCAUUUGAUAUGCUGUUUGGUCUUAUCAGAAAGUCAAAAACAGAUGAAAUAUUGUUUUCCUAACCCUUUGGAAGAUUUAGUAGGUACAGCACAGGGAAGAUUAUGUGACUCUUUUCUAGAACAACAAUUCCACACAGAUAAGCCUGUAGUCUCUACUGCUUGCCGCUCAUCCACCUUGGUCCCUUUCAGAAACAUAAAAUUUGUUUUGGAAAGACAAAACUCAAGGUAUUAUGGUUCUGAGCAUCCUGGAAUUAUACCAUCCUAUUCAGGGUAAGCUUUUCAGAACAGAAAGAAUGACUGUACUGCAUAUCAAACAACUCUUGGGAGAAAACAUCUCUUCUUGUACAAGUGGCUAUGACUAAAGAAAGCUUGGCUCCUCAGGAGGAAUUCUCAGUGGCAGAGCUGCAGGACUGAUUGAUGAGCGCUGCUUACCAGAGUAGGGAAAAUGCAAAGGGAAGUUGCACACAAAACAGGAACAGUGCACUGUGCUUAUCUGCAAUUCCCUGUGGUCCCCUACUGGGGACUGGAGGCUGUAGAAAAGGACAGGACAAUGGGGAGAAUGCACAGAGAGGUGGGAGAGGGUUGUGGCCAGAAGGAUUAAGUUAGUGAAUUUGCUCCAGUAUUGGACUGAGCUCUCUCAGGCAGCCUCUGAACCACACAAUCUAGAUUUAGAGCUUGUUAAGAUCAGGUGCACAAGGUAUGUCCCUUCCCAAUAAUCAACAGGAGGCUUUAUGAAAGUAUAAUCUGGAGCACCAAUUUCUUUUUGGAAAAAGUGCCUCCUUAUGUUUUCCUUAAAGAAACAAUAUUUUAG